rnacentral:rRNA from 1 species
UACGUAGGGAGCAAGCGUUGUCCGGAAUCAUUGGGCGUAAAGCGCGCGUAGGCGGCCUCAUAAGUCCGUUGUGAAAGUCAAAGGCUCAACCUUUGAAAGCCGAUGGAUACUGUGAGGCUAGAGUCCGGAAGAGGCGAGUGGAAUUCCUGGUGUAGCGGUGGAAUGCGCAGAUAUCAGGAGGAACACCGGUGGCGAAGGCGGGUCUCUGGGCCGAUACUGACGCUGAGGAGCGAAAGCGUGGGGAGCAAACAGG